CAAAGGAAUUGACGGGGAGCACCACAACGGGUGGAGCUUGCGGUUAAUUGGAUUCAACGCCGGAAAUCUUACCGGGACCGGCAGCAAUAUGAAGGCCAGGCUGAAGACUUUGCCGGAUUAGCUGAGAGGUGAUGCAUGGCCGUCGUCAGUUCGUACUGUGAAGCAUCCUGUUAAGUCAGGCAACGAGCGAGACCCACGCCCACAGUUGCCAGCGUACUCUCUGGAGUGACGGGUACACUGUGGGACCGCCGCUGCUAAAGCGGAGGAAGGAAUGGGCAACGGUAGGUCAGUAUGCCCCGAAUAUCCCGGGCUACACGCGAGCUACAAUGGUUGGUACAAUGGGGUAUCUACCCCCGAAAAGGGGACGGGAAAUCUCCUAAAACCAAUCUUAGUUCGGAUUGAGGGCUGCAACUCGCCCUCAUGAAGCUGGAAUCCGUAGUAAUCGCGUUUCAACAGAACGCGGUGAAUACGUCCCUGCUCCUU
rnacentral:rRNA from 1 species